rnacentral:tRNA from 1 species
UAAAAAGUGGUGUAGCGGAUGCACGAGGGGUUUUGAUCUCCUAGGGGUAGGUUCAAGUCCUAUAUUUUUAAG